UCCGCUAUAGACAAGGUGGCUAGUAUAUACGGCUCUCACCCGUAGGACCCCGGGUUCGAGUCCCCGGCAGUGGAU